GACGAACGCUGGCGGCGUGCUUAACACAUGCAAGUCGAACGAUGAAGAAGAGACACGCGCACUUCGGUUCAAAUUUCACUUCGGAUUAGUGGCAGACGGGUGAGUAACGCGUGAGCAACCUACCUCUUACAAAGGGAUAGCCUCGGGAAACCGUGAUUAAUACCAUAUGACACAUUCAUAAGGCAUCUUAAGAAUGUUAAAGCUACGGCGGUAAGAGAUGGGCUCGCGUCCCAUUAGCUAGUUGGUGAGGUAACGGCCCACCAAGGCGACGAUGGGUAACCGGCCUGAGAGGGUGAACGGUCACAUUGGAACUGAGACACGGUCCAAACUCCUACGGGAGGCAGCAGUGGGGAAUAUUGCACACUGGAGGGAACUCUGAUGCAGCGACGCCGCGUGAGCGAUGAAGGAAUUCGUUUCGUAAAACUCUGUUCUAUGGGAAGAAAAGGACUGUACCAUAGGAGAAAGCCCCGGCUAAAUACGUG
rnacentral:rRNA from 1 species